rnacentral:ncRNA from 1 species
CAAAGGCUUGGUCCUGACCUUGCUAUCAUCUUUAGCCAGACUUACACAUGCAAGUAUCCGCCCCCCGGUGAAUUAAUGCCCACAUAGUCCCCCCACCCCGGGAACAAGGAGCCGGCAUCAGGCCCAACUCUACUCCGCCCAUGACGCCUUGCUUAGCCACACCCCCAAGGGAACCCAGCAGUGAUAAAUCUUAAGCAAUAAGUGAAAACUUGACUUAGUUAGGGCUAAAUAGAGCCGGUAAAACUCGUGCCAGCCACCGCGGUUAUACGAGAGGCUCAAGCUGAUAGCCCAACGGCGUAAAGAGUGGUUAAGGGAGUAUUUUCAAUAAAGCCGAGAAUCAACAAAGCAGUUAUACGCACCCGAAAAAAAAAGACCGAUCACGAAAGUAGCUUUAACACCCCUGAGCCCACGAAAGCUAGGACACAAACUGGGAUUAGAUACCCCACUAUGCCUAGCCUUAAAUAAAGGCAGCCUGAACACCAAACCCCGCCAGGGAAGUACGAGCACGAGCUUAAAACCCAAAGGACUUGGCGGUGCUUUAGAUCCACCUAGAGGAGCCUGUCCUAAAACCGAUGACCCCCGUUCAACCUCACCCUCCCUUGUCUUUUCCGCCUAUAUACCGCCGUCGUCAGCUUACCCUAUGAAGGACGAACAGUGAGCACAACCGGCAUUCAACCCAAAACGUCAGGUCGAGGUGUAGCGCACGGAAGGGGAUGAGAUGGGCUACAUUCCCUAAUGAAGGGAAUACGAAUGAUAGACUGAAACAUCUAUACUGAAGGAGGAUUUAGUAGUAAGCAAGGAAUAGAAUGCCCUGCUGAACUUGGCCCUGAAGCGCGCACACACCGCCCGUCACCCUCCCCAAAACGAAUUAUACAAAUUUUACUAAAUCAAUACACAUAGUAAAGGGGAGGCAAGUCGUAACAUGGUAAGUGUACUGGAAGGUGUACUUGGAAUAAC